GAUGAACUCUGGCGGCGUGCCUAAUACAUGCAAGUCGAGCGAACGGACGAGAAGCUUGCUUCUCUGAUGUUAGCGGCGGACGGGUGAGUAACACGUGGAUAACCUACCUAUAAGACUGGGAUAACUUCGGGAAACCGGAGCUAAUACCGGAUGAUAUUUUGAACCGCAUGGUUCAAAAGUGAAAGACGGUCUUGCUGUCACUUAUAGAUGGAUCCGCGCUGCAUUAGCUAGUUGGUAAGGUAACGGCUUACCAAGGCAACGAUGCAUAGCCGACCUGAGAGGGUGAUCGGCCACACUGGAACUGAGACACGGUCCAGACUCCUACGGGAGGCAGCAGUAGGGAAUCCUCCGCAAUGGGCGAAAGCCUGACGGAGCAACGCCGCGUGAGUGAUGAAGGUCUUCGGAUCGUAAAACUCUGUUAUUAGGGAAGAACAUAUGUGUAAGUAACUGUGCACAUCUUGACGGUACCUAAUCAGAAAGCCACGGCUAACUACGUG
rnacentral:rRNA from 1 species